CUAUUCUAUAAAUUUGUUUUUACUCCAUAUUUUUAUAUUUUUUGCCCUCCACACGUCCGAGUCUAGGCCCUCAAGCAAUAAGCCGAAAUCAAGUUAUUGGGUUCGGAGCGCCGUAAAAGCCCGUGCUGGUGGCCGAUGGAAUGAUUGGCAUAAGCCCGAAUCUGUGCCGGUUUAUCCGCUCGGAGAAAUGAACACCUGAAAAUAAACAUGAGACAUCCAUUGAAGAAUUUCCCGAGUUUGGGAAAGAUAUGUGACCAAAGAAGUCAACGCCAGCAUGCGCCAAGAUAUCUUGCGCCGCCGAUUCACUGCGCAAGUAUCAGGGUUUUCUCCCCGCAAACAA
rnacentral:sRNA from 1 species